AGUGAACGCUGGCGGUAGGCCUAACACAUGCAAGUCGAACGGCAGCACAGUAAGAGCUUGCUCUUACGGGUGGCGAGUGGCGGACGGGUGAGGAAUACAUCGGAAUCUACUUUUUCGUGGGGGAUAACGUAGGGAAACUUACGCUAAUACCGCAUACGACCUACGGGUGAUAGCAGGGGAUCUUCGGACCUUGCGCGAUUGAAUUAGCCGAUGUCGGAUUAGCUAGUUGGCGGGGUAACGGCCCACCAAGGCGACGAUCCGUAGCUGGUCUGAGAGGAUGAUCGGCCACACUGGAACUGAGACACGGUCCAGACUCCUACGGGAGGCAGCAGUGGGGAAUAUUGGACAAUGGGCGCAAGCCUGAUCCAGCCAUACCGCGUGGGUGAAGAAGGCCUUCGGGUUGUAAAGCCCUUUUGUUGGGAAAGAAAAGCAGCAGGUUAAUACCCCGCUGUUCUGACGGUACCCAAAGAAUAAGCACCGGCUAACUUCGUG
rnacentral:rRNA from 1 species